rnacentral:rRNA from 1 species
GAUGAACGCUGGCGGCGUGCCUAAUACAUGCAAGUCGAGCGAAUGGAUUAAGAGCUUGCUCUUAUGAAGUUAGCGGCGGACGGGUGAGUAACACGUGGGUAACCUGCCCAUAAGACUGGGGUAACUCCGGGAAACCGGGGCUAAUACCGGAUAACAUUUUGAACCGCAUGGUUCGAAAUUGAAAGGCGGCUUCGGCUGUCACUUAUGGAUGGACCCGCGUCGCAUUAGCUAGUUGGUGAGGUAACGGCCCACCAAGGCAACGAGGCGUAGCCGACCUGAGGGGGUGAUCGGGCACACUGGGACUGAGCCACGGCCCAGACUCCUACGGGGGGCAGCAGUAGGGAAUCUUCCGCAAUGGACGAAAGUCUGACGGAGCAACGCCGCGUGAGUGAUGAAGGCUUUCGGGUCGUAAAACUCUGUUGUUAGGGAAGAACAAGUGCUAGUUGAAUAAGCUGGCACCUUGACGGUACCUAACCAGAAAGCCACGGCUAACUACGUGCCAGCCGCCGCCGUAA